rnacentral:rRNA from 1 species
GACGAACGCUGGCGGCGUGCCUAAUACAUGCAAGUCGAACGCAGUUACGAACGGGUGAGUAACGCGUAGGUAACUGCCUCAUAGCGGGGGAUACCUAUUGGAAACGAUAGCUAAUACCGCAUACCGUGAGAUGGAUCUGCGUUGUAUUAGCUAGUUGGUGAGGUAAAGGCUCACCAAGGCGACGAUACAUAGCCGGCCUGAGAGGGUGAUCGACCCCACGGGGACUUAGACACGUCCCAGACUCCUACUCACGUCAUCAAGAUAAAAUCUUCGGAAAUGGACGGAAGUCUGACCCGGCAACGACGCGGGAGUGGAAGAGGUUUUCGGAUCUUAAAACUCUGUUGUUAGAGAAGCGGUAACGAACCAGAAAGGAACGGCUAACUACGUGCCAGCAGCCGCGGUAAUAC